rnacentral:rRNA from 1 species
UAGGGAAUCUUCGGCAAUGGGGGGAACCCUGACCGAGCAACGCCGCGUGAGUGAAGAAGGUUUUCGGAUCGUAAAGCUCUGUUGUUAAGGAAGAACGAGUGUGAGAAUGGAAAGUUCAUACUGUGACGGUACUUAACCAGAAAGGGACGGCUAACUACGUGCCAGCAGCCGCGGUAAUACGUAGGUCCCGAGCGUUGUCCGGAUUUAUUGGGCGUAAAGCGAGCGCAGGCGGUUAGAUAAGUCUGAAGUUAAAGGCAGUGGCUCAACCAUUGUACGCUUUGGAAACUGUUUAACUUGAGUGCAGAAGGGGAGAGUGGAAUUCCAUGUGUAGCGGUGAAAUGCGUAGAUAUAUGGAGGAACACCGGUGGCGAAAGCGGCUCUCUGGUCUGUAACUGACGCUGAGGCUCGAAAGCGUGGGGAGCGAACAGG